rnacentral:rRNA from 1 species
UACGUAGGGGGCAAGCGUUAUCCGGAUUUACUGGGUGUAAAGGGGGCGCAGACGGCGAUGCAAGCCAGGAGUGAAAGCCCGGGGCCCAACCCCGGGACUGCUCUUGGAACUGCGUGGCUGGAGUGCAGGAGGGGCAGGCGGAAUUCCUGGUGUAGCGGUGAAAUGCGUAGAUAUCAGGAGGAACACCGGUGGCGAAGGCGGCCCGCUGGACUGCAACUGACGUUGAGGCCCGAAAGCGUGGGGAGCAAACAGG